rnacentral:rRNA from 1 species
UGGGGAAUAUUGGACAAUGGGCGCAAGCCUGAUCCAGCCAUGCCGCGUGAGUGACGAAGGCCUUAGGGUUGUAAAGCUCUUUUGUCAGGGAAGAAACGGUAGUAGCGAAUAACUACUACUAAUGACGGUACCUGAAGAAUAAGCACCGGCUAACUACGUGCCAGCAGCCGCGGUAAUACGUAGGGUGCAAGCGUUGUUCGGAAUCAUUGGGCGUAAAGGGCGUGUAGGCGGUAUGUUAAGUCAGGUGUGAAAUCCCCGGGCUUAACCUGGGAAUUGCGCUUGUAACUGGCAGGCUAGAGUGUGGCAGAGGGGGGUGAAUUCCACGUGUAGCAGUGAAAUGCGUAGAUAUGUGGAGGAACACCGAUGGCGAAGGCAGCCCCCUGGGUUAACACUGACGCUCAUGCACGAAAGCGUGGGGAGCAAACAGGAUUAGAUACCCAAGUAGUCCCUGAGCGGGCUGGCAAGGCGCAU